CCUACGGGAGGCAGCAGUGGGGAAUAUUGCACAAUGGGGGAAACCCUGAUGCAGCGACGCCGCGUGAGUGAAGAAGUAUUUCGGUACGUAAAGCUCUAUCAGCAGGGAAGAAAAUGACGGUACCUGACUAAGAAGCCCCGGCUAACUACGGGCCAGCAGCCGCGGUAAUACGUAGGGGGCAAGCGUUAUCCGGAUUUACUGGGUGUAAAGGGAGCGUAGACGGCAGCGCAAGUCUGGAGUGAAAUCCCAUGGCUUAACCAUGGAACUGCUUUGGAAACUGUGCAGCUAGAGUGCAGGAGAGGUAAGCGGAAUGCCUAGUGUAGCGGUGAAAUGCGUAGAUAUUAGGAGGAACACCAGUGGCGAAGGCGGCUUACUGGACUGUAACUGACGUUUAGGCUCGAAAGCGUGGGGAGCAAACAGGAUUAGAUACCCCUGUAGUC
rnacentral:rRNA from 1 species